rnacentral:rRNA from 1 species
GACGAACGCUGGCGGCGUGCUUAACACAUGCAAGUCGAACGGAAAGGCCCUGCUUUUGUGGGGUGCUCGAGUGGGGAACGGGUGAGUAACACGUGAGUAACCUGCCCUUGACUUUGGGAUAACUUCAGGAAACUGGGGCUAAUACCGGAUAGGAGCUCCUGCUGCAUGGUGGGGGUUGGAAAGUUUCGGCGGUUGGGGAUGGACUGGCGGCUUAUCAGCUUGUUGGUGGGGUAGUGGCUUACCAAGGCUUUGACGGGUAGCCGGCCUGAGAGGGUGACCGGCCACAUUGGGACUGAGAUACGGCCCAGACGCCUACGGGAGGCAGCAGUGGGGAAUAUUGCACAAUGGGCGGAAGCCUGAUGCAGCAACGCCGCGUGCGGGAUGACGGCCUUCGGGUUGUAAACCGCUUUCGCCUGUGACGAAGCGUGAGUGACGGUAAUGGGUAAAGAAGCACCGGCUAACUACGUG